GCGGGCGUCGUCGUCUCGGCCCUGCAGCCGCGCCAGGAGUCCGCGCUGCACAAAGCUCUGGCGGGCGGCGCGGCCCCGGCCGCCGCUCAGCUCCACCGCGCGUUCCAGAUCCUCCAGGGCGCCUGCGGGACCGACGAGACGGGCGGGGCGGGGGUCAGCGGAGGCCAGGGCGGCCUUGCCCGAGCCCCAGCCCACCUGCGGCCGCGCGGAUCACCGUGGUUCUUGCGGCUCCCGGGCGUGGCCAUUUACAACCCGCCUCGCACCUGCUAGAGAAAAGACCCCGGCCAUGGAUGGGAGACCUAGGACAAAGAUGGAAAAGAGUGCUUGGCACCAGACAGCUGCUCAAUGAGGAACACAACUGCAUCAUGGAGAAUCCCCAGCAUCCUCAAACCGUUAACACCUAGAAGAAUCAGAAGCACCAGGGAAGUGAGGAGCGCAGUCAACAGGAAACAGCAUGGUCCUACAGAAAUGCCUAUGCUAUAGUCACUCUGCCAGAGGCUGCUCCAGGGUGAAUUAUAGUACAUAUUAGCUCGAAAUUAGCAUCAGAUAGCCAUUAAAAUGAUGCUGAUACAGAUCUAUCAAUAUGGAAAAUGUUUGUGAUAGACGGCUAAGUGAAAAAAGCAUGCCACCAA
rnacentral:lncRNA from 1 species